GAUGAACGCUGGCGGCGUGCCUAAUACAUGCAAGUCGAGCGAACAGACGAGGAGCUUGCUCCUCUGACGUUAGCGGCGGACGGGUGAGUAACACGUGGAUAACCUACCUAUAAGACUGGGAUAACUUCGGGAAACCGGAGCUAAUACCGGAUAAUAUAUUGAACCGCAUGGUUCAAUAGUGAAAGACGGGUUUGCUGUCGCUUAUAGAUGGAUCCGCGCCGCAUUAGCUAGUUGGUAAGGUAACGGCUUACCAAGGCAACGAUGCGUAGCCGACCUGAAAGGGUGGUCGGCUAGCCUGGAACUGAGACUCGGUCCAGACUCCUACAGUAGGCCGCAGUAGGGACUCUUCCGCAAUGGGCGAGAGCGUGACAGAGCAACGCCGCGGGAGUGAUGAAGGUGUUAUGAUCGUUAAACUCUGUUAUUAGGAAAGAACAAAUGUGUAAGUACCUAUGCACGUCUUGACGGUACCUAAUCAGAAAGCCACGGCUAACUACGUG
rnacentral:rRNA from 1 species